rnacentral:rRNA from 1 species
GACGAACGCUGGCGGCGUGCUUAACACAUGCAAGUCGAACGGAAAGGCCCCUUUGGGGGUCCUUGAGUGGCGAACGGGUGAGUAACACGUGAGUAACCUGCCCUUGACUUCGGGAUAACUUCAGGAAACUGGGGCUAAUACCGGAUAGGAAUCCUUGCUGCAUGGUGGGGGUUGGAAAGCUUCGGCGGUUUUGGAUGGGCUCGCGGCUUAUCAGCUUGUUGGUGGGGUAGUGGCUUACCAAGGCUUUGACGGGUAGCCGGCCUGAGAGGGCGACCGGCCACAUUGGGACUGAGAUACGGCCCAGACUCCUACGGGAGGCAGCAGUGGGGAAUAUUGCACAAUGGGCGGAAGCCUGAUGCAGCAACGCCGCGUGCGGGAUGACGGCCUUCGGGUUGUAAACCGCUUUCAGCAGGGGCGAAGCUUGUGGUGACGGUACCUGCAGAAGAAGCACCGGCUAACUACGUG